rnacentral:lncRNA from 1 species
GCGGAAGUGGGUUAUCUGGGUCCAGCCUUUGAGGGACAGGUACACACAGUCCCUGGCUCUGACCUUUCGGUCUGCUUCCUGAUUCACCAUGAGGAGAAUAGCUUUCUGCUUGCUCCAUCACUGAGCUCUGCUGAGCUGCCGUGCCACGCCUCCCCCACCGGGAUUCACGAAGACAUUCCAAACCUGUUACCUGAUAUGAAAUCAAAUGAAUAUCUCUUUACCACCUCCCAAUGAAACUAGAAGGCUCUGGAUUU